AUGGCCCAGGACGGAGAAAGCAAGUGCUUCCAGUUUUGCAUGAUCGUAAUAGCGUUAGGUCUCAUGGCAGGUUUUGUGUAUUUUCUUGUGCGGGAAAACACGAGGCCAGGUGACACCAAGUACACGGUGACCAUCACCAGCGUCGACGGCCUGGACCCGGCGCUGGAUCUCCAUAGCGACCGGCAGGUGCUCAGCCCGGUGUUCGGCAUCACCGUGCACAUCGACAACACCCACAACCAGAUCGUUCCGAAGUGUGUCGGUGGCGUCGGCUCGUCCGCGAUCGUGUCAUACGGGGAUGCGCUGCUCGCCAAGGGCGCCGCGCCGUGGUUCUGUGUGCAGACAACAAAGGUGGGAGAGGCCGCUACCAAGGCGUGGGGCUUGAACGUGCAGCUGCCCCACUUCCUGCGAGACCGGCUGGCCGGCGAGCUGGAGAGGGGCCAGGCGGUGGUGGACGUGGCGGUGCGGACUCCCGCGGGUGCUGGCUGUUACAUAAGCGGAUGCCUGGACACGGUGCUUGUCUGCAAGGCCAAGAUCGGCGGAGGUCCAUCCCCGUGUUUUCGUGCCACGACUGUCAGCGGCAAGACAUGA
rnacentral:rRNA from 1 species